rnacentral:tRNA from 1 species
GGGCAAGUGGUGGAACGGCAGACACGCGGCUCUUAAAAAGCUGUCCCGCAAGGGGUGAGGGUUCGACUCCCUCCUUGCCCA